rnacentral:rRNA from 1 species
UGGGGAAUAUUGGGCAAUGGGGGCAACCCUGAUCCAGCAAUGCCGCGUGUGUGAAGAAGGUUUUCGGAUUGUAAAGCACUUUCGACGGGGACGAUGAUGACGGUACCCGUAGAAGAAGCCCCGGCUAACUUCGUGCCAGCAGCCGCGGUAAUACGAAGGGGGCUAGCGUUGCUCGGAAUGACUGGGCGUAAAGGGCGUGUAGGCGGUUUGUACAGUCAGAUGUGAAAAUCCCCGGGCUUAAC